rnacentral:rRNA from 1 species
GAUGAACGCUAGCGGCAGGCUUAAUACAUGCAAGUCGAGGGGGAUCAGCUGGGUAGCAAUACUCGGCUGUGAGACCGGCAAACGGGUGCGGAACACGUACGCAACCUUCCCAAAACUGGUGAAUAGCCCGCCGAAAGGAGGAUUAAUACACCGUAACAUAAUGAGAUGGCAUCAUUUUAUUAUUAUAGCCCCGGCGGUUUUGGAUGGGCGUGCGCCUGAUUAGGUAGUUGGCGGGGUAACGGCCCACCAAGCCUGCGAUCAGUAACUGGUGUGAGAGCACGACCAGUCACACGGGCACUGAGACACGGGCCCGACUCCUACGGGAGGCAGCAGUAAGGAAUAUUGGUCAAUGGACGAAAGUCUGAACCAGCCAUGCCGCGUGAAGGAUGACGGCCCUCUGGGUUGUAAACUUCUUUUAUCUGGGACGAAAAAAGAUCAUUCUUGAUCACUUGACGGUACCAGAGGAAUAAGCACCGGCUAACUCCGUGCCAGCCGCCGCAGUAAAAC